rnacentral:rRNA from 1 species
AAAGCGAGCGGCGGAUGGGUGAGUAACACGUGGGGAACCUGCCCCUAAGUCUGGGAUACCAUUUGGAAACAGGUGCUAAUACCGGAUAAUAAAGCAGAUCGCAUGAUCAGCUUUUGAAAGGCGGCGUAAGCUGUCGCUAAGGGAUGGCCCCGCGGUGCAUUAGCUAGUUGGUAAGGUAACGGCUUACCAAGGCGACGAUGCAUAGCCGAGUUGAGAGACUGAUCGGCCACAUUGGGACUGAGACACGGCCCAAACUCCUACGGGAGGCAGCAGUAGGGAAUCUUCCACAAUGGACGCAAGUCUGAUGGAGCAACGCCGCGUGAGUGAAGAAGGUUUUCGGAUCGUAAAGCUCUGUUGUUGGUGAAGAAGGAUAGAGGUAGUAACUGGCCUUUAUUUGACGGUAAUCAACCAGAAAGUCACGGCUAACUACGUGCCAGCAGCCGCGGUAAUACGUAGGUGGCAAGCGUUGUCCGGAUUUAUUGGGCGUAAAGCGAGCGCAGGCGGAAAAAUAAGUCUAAUGUGAAAGCCCUCGGCUUAACCGAGGAACUGCAUCGGAAACUGUUUUUUCUUGAGUGCAGAAGAGGAGAGUGGAACUCCAUGUGUAGCGGUGGAAUGCGUAGAUAUAUGGAAGAACACCAGUGGCGAAGGCGGCUCUCUGGUCUGCAACUGACGCUGAGGCUCGAAAGCAUGGGUAGCGAACAGGAUUAGAUACCCUGGUAGUCCAUGCCGUAAACGAUGAGUGCUAAGUGUUGGGAGGUUUCCGCCUCUCAGUGCUGCAGCUAACGCAUUAAGCACUCCGCCUGGGGAGUACGACCGCAAGGUUUGAAACUCAAAGGAAUUGACGGGGGGCCCGCACAAGC